AGGAAUAUUGGGCAAUGGAGGCAACUCUGACCCAGCCAUGCCGCGUGAGUGAAGAAGGUUUUCGGAUUGUAAAGCUCUUUCGGGUGUGACGAUGAUGACGGUAGCACCUAAAGAAGCCCCGGCUAACUUCGUGCCAGCAGCCGCGGUAAUACGAAGGGGGCAAGCGUUGUUCGGAAUUACUGGGCGUAAAGGGAGUGUAGGCGGUUAUGUAAGAUAGUGGUGAAAUCCCAGAGCUUAACUUUGGAAUUGCCAUUAUGACUAUGUGGCUAGAAUUACAGAGAGGAUAGUGGAAUACCCAGUGUAGAGGUGAAAUUCGUAGAUAUUGGGUAGAACACCAGUGGCGAAGGCGACUAUCUGGCUGUAUAUUGACGCUGAGGCUCGAAAGCAUGGGGAUCAAACAGGAUUAGAUACCCUGGUAGUCCAUGCUGUAAACGAUGAGUGCUUGUUGUCGGUGUAAAAUCGGUGACGAAGUUAACGCGUUAAGCACUCCGCCUGGGGAGUACGGUCGCAAGAUUAAAACUCAAAGGAAUUGACGGGGACCCGCACAAGCGGUGGAGCAUGUGGUUUAAUUCGAUGCAACGCGAAGAACCUUACCAACUCUUGACAUCCUUAUCGGGGAGAUCAGAGAUGAUUUCUUUCAGUUAGGCUGGAUAAGUGACAGAUGCUGCAUGGCUGUCGUCAGCUCGUGUCGUGAGAUGUUGGGUUAAGUCCCGCAACGAGCGCAACCCCUGCUAUCAGUUGCCAUCAGGUAGAGCUGGGCACUCUGAUAGGACUGCCGGUGAUAAGCCGGAGGAAGGUGGGGAUGACGUCAAGUCAUCAUGGCUCUUACGAGUUGGGCUACACACGUGCUACAAUGGCAACUACAGAGGGGAGCGAGACCGCGAGGUCGAGCCAAUCUUAAAAAGUUGUCUCAGUUCAGAUUGUACUCUGCAACUCGAGUACAUGAAGUUGGAAUCGCUAGUAAUCGCGGAUCAGCAUGCCGCGGUGAAUACGUUCCCG
rnacentral:rRNA from 1 species